rnacentral:rRNA from 1 species
GACGAACGCUGGCGGCGUGCUUAACACAUGCAAGUCGAACGGAAAGGCCCUGCUUUUGUGGGGUGCUCGAGUGGCGAACGGGUGAGUAACACGUGAGUAACCUGCCCUUGACUUUGGGAUAACUUCAGGAAACUGGGGCUAAUACCGGAUAGGAGCUCCUGCUGCAUGGUGGGGGUUGGAAAGUUUCGGCGGUUGGGGAUGGACUCGCGGCUUAUCAGCUUGUUGGUGGGGUAGUGGCUUACCAAGGCUUCGACGGGUAGCCGGCCUGAGAGGGGGGACGGGGACAAUGCUACUGAGGGAGGGAGCAGACGGGAACGGGAGGCAGCGGUCGAGAGUAUGGCACAGUGGGGCGACGCGUGAGACAGCGGCGUCGGGUUCGGGAUGCCGGCCUUCGGGGUGUAAACCGCUGUCGCCUGUGACGAAGCGUGAGUGACGGUACUGGGUAAAGAAGCACCGGCUAACUACGUG